rnacentral:rRNA from 1 species
UCGAGAAUUUUUCACAAUGGGCGAAAGCCUGAUGGAGCGACGCCGCGUGGGGAUGAAUGGCUUCGGCCCGUAAACCCCUGUCAUUCGCGAGCAAUGCCUUCCCGAUAAUACCGGGACGGUUGAUCGUAGCGAAAGAGGAAGGGACGGCUAACUCUGUGCCAGCAGCCGCGGUAAUACAGAGGUCCCAAGCGUUGUUCGGAUUCACUGGGCGUAAAGGGUGCGUAGGUGGUGAGGUAAGUUCGAUGUGAAAUCUCCGGGCUCAACCCGGAAAAGGCAUUGAAUACUAUCUUGCUCGAGGUUUGGAGGGGGGACUGGAAUUCUCGGUGUAGCAGUGAAAUGCGUAGAUAUCGAGAGGAACACCGGUGGCGAAGGCGAGUCCCUGGACAACACCUGACACUGAGGCACGAAAGCUAGGGGAGCAAACAG